rnacentral:rRNA from 1 species
UACGGGGGGGGGCAAGCGUUGUUCGGAAUUACUGGGCGUAAAGGGCUCGUAGGUGGCCAACUAAGUCAUACGUGAAAUCCCUCGGCUUAACCGGGGAACUGCGUCUGAUACUGGAUGGCUUGAGGUUGGGAGAGGGAUGCGGAAUUCCAGGUGUAGCGGUGAAAUGCGUAGAUAUCUGGAGGAACACCGGUGGCGAAGGCGGCAUCCUGGACCAUGACUGACGCUGAGGCACGAAAGCGUGGGUAGCAAACAGG